rnacentral:lncRNA from 1 species
CUCUCCAUGUGUGGUGCGCUUUUGGGCCACAAGCCCAGGGACAAAGCCAUGUGGCCUCAGGGCCAAAGCAGACAAUACUAUGCAUGGGAUGGAGUAGGAUCCGACCUCAUGAGUCUGACUUGACCGAUCGCAAUACUGAUGGCCCAUGCAAGUCUCCUAAUACACUAUGUCUCCUCGGUAAAGGCCCGAGCUGAAGGGUGAAUCCGUCUAGAGUACACUGCGAUUCUUUG